CAUGGGGACACAAUGAGUCGGACACGACUUAACGACUAAACAAAUCUGAUUCUUGUUUGAAUGCUGCCUCUGGAAAUUGUAGGAGUGUGUUUUAGGAUUAUUCUUUUCUUUUUUAAUCAAAUGAGAACCUUGUAGAUUCUGUGCUUUCAGGUAUUGCCGGCAGGUUUUGAAUGAGACAGUGAGGACAGCAAAACUAACACCAAUUGCUGCACGGCUUCAGGAGCUGGAAGGCAGAGUUGAUCAACAUCUCAUUCCCAAGGAGACUCUUGUGCUAUACGCGCUUGGUGUGGUCUUGCAGGACAGCUCACUCUGGCCGUUGCCCUAUAAAUUUGAUCCAGAUAGAUUCAGUGAUGAAGCUGCUAUAAAAAACUUCUCUCUCCUUGGUUUUUCAGGAAGUCAGGAAUGCCCUGAACUGAGGUUUGCCUAUACGGUUGCUACGGUUCUGCUGAGCGUGAUUGUGAGGAAACUCCACCUGCAGCCUGUGGAAGGCCAAGUCAUCGACACAAAGUAUGAGCUGGUCACAUCACCCAAGGAAGAAGCAUGGAUAACUAUAUCCAGGAGGAACAAAGGAGAGGAGUGAAAUUGUUUGGGGGGAAGAGCCCUUUUCGCACUGCUCACCACCUUCCAAUGUUUCCUUCGAAUCACUGUUAGGCAUUCUCGGCCUAAAAUAUCUCCCUUCCUUCAUCAUAAUUUUCUCGGAUCCUAUAAACAAAUCUGUAGGAUUGAUGGGAGAACCAGACCUUGUGGGGCAGAGUGAUCCCCUUGCCCCUCACUUCCAGCAGCCAGAGCAGCAAGAAGUCAUAUAUUCUGAUCUAGAAGCCCUCAACCAUCAAAACCAGGUGUAAGCAGUCACACUGUGGAAAGGCGCUCUGCAUAUGGACAUAGGAACUUUUAAAAAACCUAUUUUUAAAUGACGUAUCGCUCAAGAUUUGAGUGAUAGGAGAGAAAAACCUAAGGGUAUGAGCAGUACCUAGUCUGCCCUUCCUCUAAAUUAAGGCCCAGUAUGAGUAAUGGGUGCAUGCAAUUCAAUAAAAAUGGCAGCAGCACACUUCAAAUAAGAAA